rnacentral:rRNA from 1 species
UACGAAGGGGGCUAGCGUUGUUCGGAAUCACUGGGCGUAAAGCGCACGUAGGCGGAUCUUUAAGUCAGGGGUGAAAUCCCGAGGCUCAACCUCGGAACUGCCUUUGAUACUGGGGAUCUCGAGUCCGGGAGAGGUGAGUGGAACUGCGAGUGUAGAGGUGAAAUUCGCAGAUAUUCGCAAGAACACCAGUGGCGAAUGCGGCUCACUGGCCCGGAACUGACGCUGAGGUGCGAAAGCGUGGGGAGCAAACAGG